GGGCGGUUAGCUCAGGGGGAGAGCGCUUCCCUGACACGGAAGAGGUCGGCGGUUCAAAUCCGCCACCGCCCA
rnacentral:tRNA from 1 species